CUCCGCUUGGUGUAGUUGGUUUAUCACGUUCGACUGUAAAAGUAACAAUUUGUUAUCGAAAGGUCCCUAGUUCGAUUCUGGGAGCGGAGA